rnacentral:rRNA from 1 species
GACGAACGCUGGCGGCGUGCUUAACACAUGCAAGUCGAACGAUGAAGCUGGAGCUUGCUCCGGUGGAUUAGUGGCGAACGGGUGAGUAACACGUGAGUAAUCUGCCCUUGACUCUGGGAUAACUGCGGGAAACUGUAGCUAAUACCGGAUACGACACCUUCGGGCAUCCGAUGGGUGUGGAAAGAAUUUCGGUCAAGGAUGAACUCGCGGCCUAUCAGCUAGUUGGUGAGGUAAUGGCUCACCAAGGCGACGACGGGUAGCCGGCCUGAGAGGGUAACCGGCCACACUGGGACUGAGACACGGCCCAGACUCCUACGUGAGGCAGCAGUGGGGAAUAUUGCACAAUGGGCGAAAGCCUGAUGCAGCAACGCCGCGUGAGGGAUGAAGGCCUUCGGGUUGUAAACCUCUUUUAGUUGGGAAGAAGCGAAAGUGACGGUACCAACAGAAAAAGCACCGGCUAACUACGUGCCAGCCGCCGCCGUAA